AUCUCUACGGAAUAACUCAGGGAAACUUGUGCUAAUACCGUAUACGCCCUUCGGGGGAAAGAUUUAUCGGAGAUGGAUGAGCCCGCGUUGGAUUAGCUAGUUGGUGGGGUAAAGGCCUACCAAGGCGACGAUCCAUAGCUGGUCUGAGAGGAUGAUCAGCCACAUUGGGACUGAGACACGGCCCAAACUCCUACGGGAGGCAGCAGUGGGGAAUAUUGGACAAUGGGCGCAAGCCUGAUCCAGCCAUGCCGCGUGAGUGAUGAAGGCCCUAGGGUUGUAAAGCUCUUUCACCGGUGAAGAUAAUGACGGUAACCGGAGAAGAAGCCCCGGCUAACUUCGUGCCAGCAGCCGCGGUAAUACGAAGGGGGCUAGCGUUGUUCGGAAUUACUGGGCGUAAAGCGCACGUAGGCGGGUAUUUAAGUCAGGGGUGAAAUCCCAGAGCUCAACUCUGGAACUGCCUUUGAUACUGGGUACCUAGAGUAUGGAAGAGGUGAGUGGAAUUCCGAGUGUAGAGGUGAAAUUCGUGAUAUUCGGAGGAACACCAGUGGCGAAGGCGGCUCACUGGUCCAUUACUGACGCUGAGGUGCGA
rnacentral:rRNA from 1 species